rnacentral:rRNA from 1 species
AUACGUAGGGGGCGAGCGUUGUCCGGAAUGGUUGGGCGUAAAGGGCGCGUAGGCGGCCCGGUAAGUCUGGAGUGAAAGUCCUGUUUUUAAGAUGGGAAUUGCUUUGGAUACUGUCGGGCUUGAGUGCAGGAGAGGUAAGUGGAAUUCCCAGUGUAGCGGUGAAAUGCGUAGAGAUUGGGAGGAACACCAGUGGCGAAGGCGACUUACUGGACUGUAACUGACGCUGAGGUGCGAAAGUGUGGGGAGCAAACAGGAUUAGAUACCCUGGUAGUCCACACUGUAAACGAUGAAUGCUAGGUGUAGGGGGUAUCGACCCCUUCUGUGCCGCAGUCAACACAAUAAGCAUUCCGCCUGGGGAGUACGGCCGCAAGGUUGAAACUCAAAUGAAUUGACGGGG